GUAAAAUUGAAGUUCAUGUCAAGCUGGCCAAAAGCCCUUUACUCUCUUGAUGGUUGAGGAAAAGCUCAUCAUUUCCCUUCUUCACCACUUGUGGAUCUUCUUACAUUCAGUCAUAAGAAGGAGUCUCAUCCUUAGAGGGAGAAGGGACAGAUUCUGGGAGAGGCCUAAUUCAUGACUGCCAUUUGCUCAUGGCAAAUGCCAACUCUGCAAGCAACCAAUCCAUCUUUCGCAAGAUGAUCUCUAACUUACCAGAAGACCCCAGGAGAUGAGUCGCAUGCCUGAUGCCCUACAUCCACUUGGUUAU